UACGUAGGGGGCAAGCGUUGUCCGGAUUUAUUGGGCGUAAAGAGCGUGUAGGCGGCCAAGCAGGUCCGCUGUGAAAACUCGAGGCUCAACCUCGAGAGGUCGGUGGAAACCGUUUGGCUAGAGUCCGGAAGAGGAGAGUGGAAUUCCUGGUGUAGCGGUGAAAUGCGCAGAUAUCAGGAAGAACACCCGUGGCGAAGGCGGCUCUCUGGGACGGUACUGACGCUGAGACGCGAAAGCGUGGGGAGCAAACAGG
rnacentral:rRNA from 1 species